rnacentral:rRNA from 1 species
GGUAUGCUUAACACAUGCAAGUCGAACGAGGUUUAUUUAUCAGUUAACUCUCGGGUUAACCAAAUAAACUGCAGUGGCGGACGGGUGAGUAACACGUAAGAACUUACCUUUUGGUGGGGGAUAACAGUGGGAAACUGCUGCUAAUACCCCAUAAUGCUGAGGAGCUAAAGGUGAAAACCACCAAGAGAGAGGCUUGCGUCUGAUUAGCUAGUUGGAGAAGGUAAUGGCUUCCCAAGGCUACGAUCAGUAGCUGGUCUGAGAGGAUGAUCAGCCACACUGGGACUGAGACACGGCCCAGACUCCUACGGGAGGCAGCAGUGAGGAAUUUUCCGCAAUGGGCGAAAGCCUGACGGAGCAAUACCGCGUGAAGGAAGAAGGCCCGUGGGCUGUAAACUUCUUUUCUCAGAGAAGAAGAUCUGACGGUAUCUGAGGAAUAAGCACCGGCUAACUCCGUGCCAGCAGCCGCGGUAAUACGGGGGGUGCAAGUGUUGUCCGGAAUGAUUGGGCGUAAAGCAUCUGUAGGUUGUUCUUAAAGUCUACUGUCAAAUCCCAGAGCUCAACUUUGGACAGGCAGUAGAGGACUCAAGAGCUUGAGUACGGUAGGGGUAGAGGGAAUUCCUAGUGGAG